UACGUAGGGACCGAGCGUUGUCCGGAAUCAUUGGGCGUAAAGAGCGUGUAGGCGGCUAUUUAAGUCCUGCGUGAAAUCCUGCGGCUCAACCGCAGACGGUCGUGGGAAACUGGAUGGCUAGAGUGCGGGAGAGGAGAGUGGAAUUCCAGGUGUAGCGGUGAAAUGCGUAGAUAUCUGGAGGAAUACCGGUGGCGAAGGCGGCAUCCUGGACCGGCAUUGACGCUGAGGAGCGAAAGCCAGGGAGCAACGGG
rnacentral:rRNA from 1 species